AAGCCGUGGUGUGGGCAUUGGUUAGUGUAGCUUCUAAACCGUUCCCAAGCUUCACUAAAGCUCUCGUUAUUGUGCUGCGUGAAAUUGAGAUCUGAUUCCUGAGCUU
rfam:Eutrema salsugineum unplaced genomic scaffold scaffold_14, whole genome shotgun sequence.